CGAACCAGUAACAUGACGAUUCAGCGACGAAAACCAAAUUUUUUAAUUUUUGUUACGAACUCUGGUAUACAAUUCAGAAUUCCAACAAGUACUCUUCAUAAUUAUAUUCAGAGGUACGAGUAAGUUCAAUUAUCUUUCGAAGUUUCGACUAAAAAAUUCGUCGUGUCACUGUUCGUAAAUUCGCGUCGUAAUUUAUGCGGAGGUUAGGUUACGUGAACUCGUACAUGCAAGCGCGACUAAUUUCACCGACGGGCGAGCGUUACAAUCGAUUUCAUUUUACUUGCAUUACUGCGGACAAUUUCGUCAAGACCAUCGCGAUCAAUUCCAUCGGGCGAAUCGGGGAGAUACCGAGAUUAAUUUCAUUAGCGCGCAGGACAGAGGGACUGAUUUCGUCGUGGCUAAUUUCAUUACACUGGCAGCGUUGAUUCCAUCGCGGCCAUAACGGCAAUUUUACGAUCACGAGUUCGAGAUGUCCGAAGCAAAACUAUUGGAACGGCUGAAGGUUAUCAUUUGAAGUAUUAAACUAGCCAAGGUAAAAAAUAAAAUCGUGUAUCUAAUAAUAAUUCUAAGUACGACAAAUAAAUUUUGCACCGCGUACGCGAGUAACAUAUAUCGGAGAAUCAGCAGCCAUCUGCAUGUAGAAUCUCAUGGCCAACGGCACUGGAGUAACUUUCGUAAUGGACACCGUCGCUGGCAAUUUUCUCGAAUCCCCCCUGCACGAGUCAUCAGUCUUCCUACCCGUGAAUACUUGGUAGCGUGAUUUACGCGACCUUCGCGGUCCCGCGAUCUGGUUCUGGAAAUGUGGAAAAGAAGAGGCACCCAGCUGGCGAUCUGGUGAGGACCAGAGAACGUGAAAGUUUCCGCAUUAGCAGGAAAGGAAGACGGGUAAAUUACCUAAAUCCCGUCGGACUGCAGGUGGUCCGGAGAAAAAGAGCAACUGCGCGCGCUUCUGCAAUAACCUUUCUCUUUCUUCCUCUACCCCCACUCCCGCCCGCCGUCCAGUUGCGCUUGGCCCUCGAGCGUGUCCCCCUCUGUGUCCACACACCUAUACUAUUUCAAGAGGCACAAUGUGUUUUCGUCCCCACUCCUGUUGCUGGUACUUUGUCUCACUCAGUCUCGCUGCGAACCGUCAUUUAUCUUCGUCACCGUCUUCGGCCAAUAGCGAUUGCUGUCUGUGAAGAAGAACGUCAGCGGACUGCGACAGGAGUGGGGAUGUAAACACGCUGUGCCUUCCUCUCGUGGCAGAAUGGUACUUGGUUCGAGCGAUGUAGCAGAGUCGUUAAAUCAGUCGAGCGACGGAAUACAAAUAUCGCGACCUACGGAACAGCAUCUCUAAUAGACGGCUAAUUUCCUACUGUUUGCAUCGGGAUUAACAAAAUACGGUUGUGUAGAAUAAUAACGAGAUAUAUGUGAGCAUUGUACGAGGGAUAAAUAUAUGCAUAGUAUUGAGUACUGUAGAAUAUUGAAAGUUGUGAAUAGGUUAUAAAUAUAAAUAUCAGUAGUACGAGUCGUAAGCCAAAGCGAUGAAGUCUACUUUUUGAAGUGCUUCAAAUUUUUACGCCAAAUGCCACAACAUUUUAUUGAUGCUUCGCUUCUUAGAUUUGAAGUAAAUUUUUACUUCUUGUUUUGAGGAAUUCAUUGAUUGAGCAAAUGAAAGGUUCAUAUACUGGUACAACACUGGAACUACCAAACCCAUCAAAAUGACAGAAUCUUGAUUUUCUAUUUUUGGAAUUAGUAUUGCAAGAGUACCCUCUUAAAACAGGAAUCACGAUCCAGUAAAUCCAUAGGUGUCGGGACCACGGGAAAACGAGCUGUAGGAAUUAAAUUAACGACCCUCGUGACAUCUGUGGUGAGGGAAGAGGACACGUUUUAUGGCGUCGCGGGGCACCAUCGAAGGAGCUUUUCUAGAGGGAGUCACUCGCGCAAAUACCCCACCAGCCAUCGAUUUUGGUAGAUAGAUCUAGGCUCGUAGCGACAAAUGUGUCGUGCGCUGGAAAUGGGGUUCCCUAGGGAAGUCUAGUGGUAAAUUUACCAGGUCAAACAGGUUUUCUUCUUGACUUUACACAUCCUUGAUAGAGAUGAUUAAACGGUGAUACAGUUAGGAGGAAGAGUCUCAGUCGUUCCCGGUUUUCAGAGACUCGGUUGCCAAGGCUGAGUGACUUUGGUCUAUUGGACUACGUGAGGAUCAUUACCGGGAGUGAGAACGAUAUCUCAACGAAACGAGACGUGGGCAGGGGGACAAGAUAAUGGGUUGAGGAGGAUAAAUAGACGAAUUGGAGAGGUAGAGUUACAGUGUUAGCUGGUUACACUGCAGCUGAUGAAAAUCAAACAGGUUACAGAUUCGCUAAGAAGCUGAAACUCGGGAAGCUGUAUAGUAGUAUAGUAGUACAACAUUAGGCCA
rnacentral:lncRNA from 1 species